rnacentral:tRNA from 1 species
GGAUCGAUAGCUCAGUGGAUAGAGCACCCGCCUUCUAAGCGGGUGGUCGCAGGUUCGAAUCCUGCUCGAUCCG